AGUGCUUCCUUUCCCUCUUGACUUUUUAGCAGUUCUGGGUAAAUAUUGAUUUGCCCCCAGUUUACCUUCUCCCUGAAUGGUCAUUUGCAAACUAAGGAACCAGACUCCGUAAAGAUUUGAUUUUUGUGUUACUUUCCGGCCCUUUCCUCAUCCCCCACCCCCUUCCUCUCUCCAAGUGGCAUUGUAAAACUCACGGUGACAAAGAAAAAGAGUAGGGUUCGAGGCCCCAGUUCCUAGGGACUUGAGGGCGGUUUUACAUACGGGUCAGACACGGCUGGAGGCCAAGGUCAAGUUGAAAGUUGCAGUCUAGUCAGCGUGAGAAAACUGCCUCGCACACUUGGAGACUAAGGCGGCUGCAAAAGGCCCACCGCUCAUCUCCCCUCA
ensembl:misc_RNA